UACGGAGGGUGCAAGCGUUAUCCGGAUUUACUGGGUUUAAAGGGUGCGUAGGUGGGCCUGUAAGUCAGUGGUGAAAUCUUCAAGCUUAACUUGGAAACUGCCAUUGAUACUAUAGGUCUUGAAUUAUCUGGAGGUAAGCGGAAUAUGAUCAUGUAGCGGUGAAAUGCUUAGAGAUGACAUAGAACACCCAUUGCGAAGGCAGCUUACUACGGAUUGAUUGACACUGAGGCACGAAAGCGUGGGGAUCAAACAGG
rnacentral:rRNA from 1 species